CAGCACCUCAAGUGGUCAGGAUGAUUAUUGGGCCUAAAGCAUCCGUAGCCGGCGCUGUAAGUUUUCGGUUAAAUCUGUACGCUCAACGUACAGGCUGCCGGGAAUACUGCAGCGCUAGGGAGUGGGAGAGGUAGACGGCACUCGGUAGGAAGGGGUAAAAUCCUUUGAUCUAUUGAUGACCACCUGUGGCGAAGGCGGUCUACCAGAACACGUCCGACGGUGAGGGAUGAAAGCUGGGGGCACAAACCGGAUUAGAUACCCGAGUAGUCC
rnacentral:rRNA from 1 species